rnacentral:lncRNA from 1 species
AUCAUUGUUGUUCUUUCUUGGGUUUUAUCGAUAUUUCCCCUUUCCUUUUUGGGAAUAAAUAAAGUUCGGUGGAGACUUUGUUUAGUCCAUCAUCGCGAGCGUGCGAUUGCACUUCGCUAAGUCGUGUUCUCAUUUUUUCGAGGUACGACAGAUGGCGACUCUGCUGGGGACUAACUCCUUAUGUGAGUCAAGCCUAGUUAGGUCGUUUGUGUACCUUUGUUUAUUUACUUGUGUGGCUUUUCUUUAUUUCUU